rnacentral:rRNA from 1 species
AAUAUUGGACAAUGGGGGCAACGCUGAUCCAGCCAGGCCGCGUGUGUGAUGAAUGCCUUCGGUUUGUCCCGUCCUUUUGGCAGCGAAGAAAAGGGAUCUCCUAAUACGAGAUACUGCUGACGGUAUAUGCAGAAUAAGCACGGGCUAACUACGUGCCAGAGGACGCGGUAAUACGUAGGGUGCAAGCGUGAAUCGGAAUUACUUGGCGUAAAGCGUGUGUAGGCGGUUCGGAAAGAAAGAUGUGAAAUCCCAGGGCUCAACCUUGGAACUGCAUUUUUAACUGCCGAGCUAGAGUAUGUCAGAGGGGGGUAGAAUUCCACGUGUAGCAGUGAAAUGCGUAGAUAUGUGGAGGAAUACCGAUGGCGAAGGCAGCCCCCUGGGGUAAUACUGACACUGAGGUGCGAAAGCGUGGGGAGCAAACAG